rfam:Camelus ferus unplaced genomic scaffold scaffold964, whole genome shotgun sequence.
GAGGGUAUAGCUCAAGUGGUAGAGCACGAGCUUAGCAUUCAUGAGGUCCUGGGUUCAUGAGGCCCUGGGUUCAAUCCCCAAUACCUCCU